rnacentral:lncRNA from 1 species
CUCAUAUAAAUAAUUAUAAAAAAAUUCUAUUUAAAUAUAUAUAUUUCAGGCCUGCUCUGAUAUCAGUUGAAGGGAAGGAAACAGUUUCUCUCUAGAAUACCCAGAUUGUAUCUAAAAUUUUUUUCUAAUAUUCUGCUUCUUUAAGGAUCAAAUCCUUACCUGAAUUGUAGUAGAACCAGAGAUCAAAUCUCAAAUUAUCUAAAAUAAUUUUUUGUGGAGGCUUGGAUAUGCAGACCCUUUACUUCGUAUGCACGUCAAACACCG